UGCAGAACAUGAUAUCAUCAAAGAAAAAGAACGAAGUUGAAAAGAACGGAGAAAUAGUGCAGAGCAAAAAGACAUCUGUGGCUGUGUAAUUUGUCAUCAUUUUUGUGCACUCUUGGAUUGCAGAACAUGAUAUCAUCAAAGAAAAAGAACGAAGUUGAAAAGAACGGAGAAAUAGUGCAGAGCAAAAAGACAUCUGUGGCUGUGUAAUUUGUCAUCAUUUUUGUGCACUCUUGGAUUGCAGAACAUGAUAUCAUGAAAGAAAAAGAACGAAGAUGAAAAGAACGGAGAAAUAGUGCAGAGCAAAAAGACAUCUGUGGCUGUGUAAUUUGUCAUCAUUUUUGUGCACUCUUGGAUUGCAGAACAUGAUAUCAUCAAAGAAAAAGAACGAAGUUGAAAAGAACGGAGAAAUAGUGCAGAGCAAAAAGACAUCUC